CCCUUAGAUGUUCUGGGCUGCACGCGUGCUACAAUGGCGCUUGCAACAAGUCUUGCCAACCCGAUAGGGUGAGCGGAUCUUUGAAGAGGCGUCGUGAUCGGGACAGUUGAUUGCAAUUAUUCGACUCGAACGAGGAAUUCCUUGUAAUCGCGAUUCAUCAUAUCGCGCUGAAUACGUCCCUGCCCUUUGUACACACCGCCCGUCGCUCCUACCGAUUGAAUGGUUUAGUGAGAAUUUUGGACUGGAACUCCCUUGCUCAGCAAUGGGCGAGGGGGAGUCCGGGAAGCUAUUCUAACUGUAUCAUUUAGAGGAAGUAAAAGUCGUAACA
rnacentral:rRNA from 1 species